rnacentral:rRNA from 1 species
UACGGAGGAUCCGAGCGUUAUCCGGAUUUAUUGGGUUUAAAGGGUGCGUAGGCGGCCUAUUAAGUCAGGGGUGAAAGACGGUAGCUUAACUAUCGCAGUGCCUUUGAUACUGAUGGGCUUGAAUGGACUAGAGGUAGGCGGAAUGUGACAAGUAGCGGUGAAAUGCAUAGAUAUGUCACAGAACACCAAUUGCGAAGGCAGCUUACUAUGGUUUUAUUGACGCUGAGGCACGAAAGCGUGGGGAUCAAACAGG